CCUACGGGGGGCUGCAGUGGGGAAUAUUGGACAAUGGACCAAAAGUCUGAUCCAGCAAUUCUGUGUGCACGAUGACGGUCUUAGGAUUGUAAAGUGCUUUCAAUCGGGAAAAAGAAAGUGAUGGUACCGAUAGAAGAAGCGACGGCUAAAUACGUGCCAGCAGCCGCGGUAAUACGUAUGUCGCAAGCGUUAUCCGGAUUUAUUGGGCGUAAAGCGCGUCUAGGCGGUCUGGUAAGUCUGAUGUGGAAAUGCGGGGCUCAACUCCGUAUUGCGUUGGAAACUGCCAGACUAGAGUACUGGAGAGGUGGGCGGAACUACAAGUGUAGAGGUGAAAUUCGUAGAUAUUUGUAGGAAUGCCGAUAGAGAAGUCAGCUCACUGGACAGAUACUGACGCUGAAGCGCGAAAGCAUGGGGAGCAAACAGGA
rnacentral:rRNA from 1 species